CCCGGGGAUGCUCCGGGGGCGGGCGGAUCGGCUUCUCGGGCUCCUCCCGCUGCCCCGGCGCCUCGGCCACGUCUGAAAGGGGUUCAUUGUCCCUGUCGGCAGCUCGGAGACGCGGCGGUGGCGGGAGGCGGCGACAAGGAGAUGUUUUUGAGCGGGUUACGCACGCCCGUGCCUGUGGCGGCGGACUAGCGGUGAUACCAGUUGCGGCGGAGCCGAUGUCGCACCGAUAGAGGUGAAGGUGACAUGCUGAUCGUAAGCAUUUGUCAGUAUUUCUUAGCUGCAACAGUUGCUUCAAGUGAGGCACACAGGGCGCACCUCAGUCCAAUCGUCCUCGGACUGUUUGAAUUUGUGGACGCUAUUGUAGCAGUGCCGACAAAGUCUCAACUUUUUUC
rnacentral:lncRNA from 1 species